CUCGGAUCUCGAGUAUCUGAGCUAAGAUCAUGUGUGGUAUCUGUUCUUUACAGUGUAAUUUCUGCAAUGGUGUCUAAACUGAGACUAAUGAAUUUACCUGUAUUUUUCCCUUACGGACGAGUGCUGUGAACUUGCUCAACGCCGUCCACGGGUCCGACUCUUAUCGCAUUAUUAUUGACAAUAUUCUU
rnacentral:snRNA from 1 species